rnacentral:lncRNA from 1 species
AUUUUUUUUCCCAUUACCCCAGUGUAAGCUUGGAACAUCUUCACUCAUCUCAAAAGCGACACAGGGCACCGCUAGACAACAAGGCUGACCUGACCUAAUGACUUUUUCCUGACGAAAAAAUGGUCUCUCUCUCUUCUUCCAGGUACUGAGCUGCCCACUGAGGAAGUUUAUUUAGAUCAUUAAGCUGGUAGAAGACGACAAGAAGAAAGGAGUCAUUUUUCUGAUAGCGCAAUGAUCCGCACGAGCUCAGCGGAGGCCGAGAAGGGCAGUGGAGAAGGCAGCGCGGGACCCCCACCUUCGCUGGCCGUGGGAUGCGCUGAGCCACCUUCUCCAACUCCAGCUCCAGGUUUUCAUGAGGAAAAGCAGCAGCGAUUCUUGCCCCUUCCCCAUGUUUAGGCAGAUAAAACUUGCUUUGAUAAUACAUUUACUCAGAAAAGCACAUGUUUACACCUAGCUCGAAAACCGCCCUGGUGACCUUGCCCUGCGGCCACCCGGCCACCAGCACCACCCCGGCCGGCGUCCGGGUCACUGACUGGCGUUUUUGAGCUCCCCGAGAGUAACCCCAGGUCCCGAAAGCUGGGUUCUAGAUUCGGCUUUGACAAACAAAUACAUCUUUUUUAAAAACAUAAGGAUCGGAGGGCGCGCAGGCCUCAGGUAGGCAGUCAGGCGGCCGAGGAGGAGCGCGGAGCGGGGGGGGGCCGCCUCAGGGAAGCAGCCCCACGCCAAGGAAGACGCAGCCCCGAGCGGAGGAAUCCAGCACCCCCGACGCUACCAACUACACGCACCGCAAGCCCCGCUGCGAGGACUUCUGCCCUCGCUCGGGACACGGCUGCGUAGCCAGGGCAGCCACCCGAAGGGCCGCCCAAGCAUCCCGCGCUGAGGGAGAGCCGCUUCCUUCCACCCCUCUGCCGCGGGCGUCAGGUCACUGCUUCAAUGUGAUGGAGGAGCAUCUGAACGGCGCAGCGGCUCUUGCCGUGUGUCUGCAUGCUGCUGCUGGGGCCGGUCUCUGCUUCGUGGGAUUAUGCCUGUAGCUCCUGGUUGGAUACGUAGCCAAAGUUUUCUCCUGAAAAUCAAACUAACAGAAUCCCAUGGUUCCUCUCAUGCCAUCUGUUAGCUGCUUCUUUUCAAGAAGACAGCACCACUUCUAAAUCCAUAAUGGAUCAUUAUGGACAACAGAGACGCUGGAAAUGUAUAGAUCUUCAAGUAAAUGCGUGUAGAGGAGAUGAGGGAGACUGUGCCAUCACCAGCAAUGACUGGCAGUGGCACCUGAACUUCAGCAAACCCAAAUGUGCUUUCCUGAUGAUGUGUAUGGGGGGUUAUCUAGGAAAUCCAGAAGCUAUUUGCCAGCUGUGACCUUCUAUAUCUUGAUGAAAAUGUUUAUCCAUUGCCAUCUGGCCCUCACAGCAGAAUUAGCAGACAUAGAAAUGGCUUUUUUCUAAAAGUCAUUGUAUUGCUAUUGAAAAAGUGAUACUGUAUCUGAUAAUGCUUGCCAAUUUUAAAGAGUUUGCUAACAGAAUUGUGUAUGGGGAAUUUCUGACUCAAACUGUUGAUGAACCCCCUAUUUCUAUCUUCUUUUCAGGUUGGUUGCUGGCAUUUACAAAGAGAAAGGUUGAUUCCUCCAUAUGCUGCAAUACUUUUCUUAACUACAUGUUAGAUUAACCAAUUUUAAUGCAGUGUGAGGUGCUAGAUUUUUCAGAAAAUCUUGCUUGUUUUCAGUAAUGAGUAAGGGAGAAAUUAAAAAGAUAGUAGAAGGAAGUAUCUUGCUUCAGGGCACGGAGUGAUUGCUAUCUGGGGAAGGGUCAGGAAGGAAAAAAUUUCUCAUGUAUAACAUUGCACAGCUGGCCAUAUGCGUUACUGGGCAGGGGGAAGAGCCAGCAAUGUGAUACCUAUAGCAUCAGUAUUCCUUUUCUUAUCCCUAGAGACUCACUCUACUCCCUAAAAACAUUAAUAAUGAAGCCUUUGACUGGAUAUUUGCAUUGUAGAAAAUAAGUUUUUAACUACCACGUAAGCAGCUGCAGGAUGACAAUGGAGCGUGCCUUUGGGAAAUUGAAAGGUAGAUGGCAGGUACAAACUAGAAGGCUUGAGGCAACUAAAUAGUACCUGUCUGGAAUAAUAACUGUGUGCUGUGUUCUGCACAACAUCUGUGAAAGAAAGGAUGGGGCUUUGCUGAGACCUGGGAGGCAUGUGUGGGGAUACUUUGAGGAUGGAGGAUUUGAGCAACUCGCAAGGUGUUCCCUUCUCAAUGACAGUUGUUAGAAUUUUGUAUAUUUUGCAAGAAAGGAUGGAUGGUUUUGAUAUGCUGUGGGGAAUAUGGGGGCUGUGCAGUGUGAUUUGGCACACCACAGUUUUAUGAAAUUCAGUAAAAUAAUGCGUCUCAGUUUGGUGUAUAUGUUUGUGUGGGAUUUCUCUAAUCAAGGAGAGGUGAUCUGUUGCACAUGCCAUGUUUUACAAGUUUUAAAAUUGAGUCUUUUUUAGGUUCUAAUACAUGAUAAAUGGACAUC